ACGCAAUAGAUACCCAGGUAGUCCACGCCCUAAACGAUGUCUACUAGUUGUCGGGUCUUAAUUGACUUGGUAAACGCAGCUAAACGCGUGAAGUAGACCGCCUGGGGAGUACGGUCGCAAGAUUAAAACUCAAAGGAAUUGACGGGGACCCGCACAAGCGGUGGAUGAUGUGGAUUAAAUUCGAUGCAACGCGAAAAACCUUACCUACCCUUGACAUGGAUGGAAUCCCUGAGAGAUUGGGGAGUGCUCGAAAGAGAACCAUUACACAGGUGCUGCAUGGCUGUCGUCAGCUCGUGUCGUGAGAUGUUGGGUUAAGUCCCGCAACGAGCGCAACCCUUGUCAUUAGUUGCUACGAAAGGGCACUCUAAUGAGACUGCCGGUGACAAACCGGAGGAAGGUGGGGAUGACGUCAAGUCCUCAUGGCCCUUAUGGGUAGGGCUUCACACGUCAUACAAUGGUACAUACAGAGGGCCGCCAACCCGCGAGGGGAGCUAAUCCCAGAAAGUGUAUCGUAGUCCGGAUUGUAGUCUGCAACUCG
rnacentral:rRNA from 1 species